GACUCCAUCUUGUCUUCAAAGAGAUGGCAACAUGAACGGGAAAAAAGGGGUUGUUGGUGAAAAAAGAGUCUUGACCUACAAAAGGUGCAGCUAAUAAUUGACUAUGUCAAAAAGAGGCACCCAGGCAUCGGAGGCACUGAGAUCAAGGUCUGCAUGGCACAAAAGUUAAGAGAUCUGAGGAGACGAGCAGAAAGGAUGCCUGCUGAAGGAGACACAAAGGACUGAGACAAUACACUUUUACAAAAGCACACCACACACACACACGCACACAUGCGUGUAUACCUGCGUUUUUUGUGGCUUUUUAUGUAUUUAUGUAUAAUAUGUGUGCUAAACAAAAGUGUAUAUAGUUUCUCAUUGAUAAUUGUCUUGAGAUAUUCACAUUUAUAAACUUGUAUUAUUAUAAUCUCCUAAAGUCUUAGAAUUUAUGUUUUCAUGUUCAUGAUUAUUUUUUAUUAUUUUUUAUUUAAUUUUGUAAUACAUGUUGUUUAUAAAAAUACAUGUUCAC